ACUUGUUCCAACAACAUCUAAUGGUUAA
rnacentral:piRNA from 1 species